CCCUUUCAAAUUCAAAUUAGCUAUAACGUAUUGUAGUAAUUUGACAGCUCUAAUUGCCUUGAAUUAAUGGUUGGGUAAGAACACAAGGAAUACUGUAUUUCUUUUAAAUUUUCUAAUUUUUAUUUCUUUGAGUUUUGUCCCAUGAGUACAAGACCUAGUGUUCUUAUCCAACCAUUAAUUUAAAGCAAUUAGAGCUGUCAAAUUACUGCAAUAGGUUAUAGCUAAUUUGAAUUUGAAAGGG